rnacentral:rRNA from 1 species
UACGUAGGGGGCAAGCGUUGUCCGGAUUUAUUGGGCGUAAAGAGCGUGUAGGCGGCUUUGCAAGUCCGUUGUGAAAACUCGAGGCUCAACCUCGAGACGCCGGUGGAAACUGCAAAGCUAGAGUCCGGAGGAGGAGAGUGGAAUUCCUGGUGUAGCGGUGAAAUGCGCAGAUAUCAGGAAGAACACCAACGGCGAAGGCAGCUCGCUGGGACGGUACUGACGCUGAGACGCGAAAGCGUGGGGAGCGAACAGG